GGACUACCGGGGUAUCUAAUCCUGUUUGCUCCCCACGCUUUCGUGCAUGAGCGUCAGUCACGUCCCAGGGGGCUGCCUUCGCCAUCGGUAUUCCUCCACAUCUCUACGCAUUUCACUGCUACACGUGGAAUUCUACCCCCCUCUGACGCACUCUAGCCUUGCAGUCACAAGCGCAAUUCCCAGGUUAAGCCCGGGGAUUUCACGCCUGUCUUACAAAACCGCCUGCGCACGCUUUACGCCCAGUAAUUCCGAUUAACGCUCGCACCCUACGUAUUACCGCGGCUGCUGGCAC
rnacentral:rRNA from 2 species